UUCUUUGCUGACGAGUGGCGGACGGGUGAGUAAUGUCUGGGAAACUGCCUGAUGGAGGGGGAUAACUACUGGAAACGGUAGCUAAUACCGCAUAACGUCCCAAGACCAAAGAGGGGGACCUUCGGGCCUCUUGCCAUCGGAUGUGCCCAGAUGGGAUUAGCUUGUUGGUGGGGUAACGGCUCACCAAGGCGACAAUCCCUAGCUGGUCUGAGAGGAUGACCACCCACACUGGAACUGAAACACGGUCCAAACUCCUACGGGAGGCAGCAGUGGGGAAUAUUGCACAAUGGGCGCAAGCCUGAUGCACCCAUGCCGCGUGUAUGAAAAAGGCCUUCGGGUUGUAAAGUACUUUCAGCGGGGAGGAAGGGAGUAAAGUUAAUACCUUUGCUCAUUGACGUUACCCGCAAAAAAAGCACCGGCUAACUCCGUGCCAGCAGCCGCGGUAAUACGGAGGGGCAAGCGUUAAUCGGAAUUACUGGGCGUAAAGCGCACGCAGGCGGUUUGUUAAGUCAGAUGUAAAUCCCCGGGCUCACCUGGGAACUGCAUCUGAUACUGG
rnacentral:rRNA from 1 species